GAGGAAAACAUUCAAAAAGAAAUUGAAAUAAUCUUCAAAGGCAUAUUUUAACCACAGCUAUUCGAAUGUGCAUCGGAGAAAAAGAUAUAAUAUUUUAGUGUAUAUAUGGAUUGCAAUGUUAUCAAGACAACCAUUUGUUAAAAAAAACUAAAAAUAGACCAUGGUAUUCGCUAAAUCAUUUUGUUUUCAUCAACACAUUUCAAACUGUUUCAUUUACUAUCUUAGUAAAUGAACAUCUAUUGCAUACGUUAUUUCAA
rnacentral:lncRNA from 1 species